AUAGAAGAAGUAAGCAUCCAAGGAUUGCACUCAUAAGGGCAAGGUGCGUAGCCUUCUUGCACAUUAGUAAGGCAAGCGAUGCUCAAUAGUAACCUCUUUCAUGCCUUAGUCCUUAGUAAACUCCUGCCCUCAGGCCUUAGCCGAAGGUAAGCUCCUUCAUGCCUUUAAGCAUGGCUCUUUGUAGCAAGCAAGCUAUGGUUACAGGUAUGAAUGAAUGCCUUUGCUUCGGCCCAUUUUGUGUAGUACUCGGUGGCUGUGAGGAUGAAUGCCG
rnacentral:misc_RNA from 1 species